UUAGACAUGCAACUUCAGAUCAAUACUCAUUAACCAUUGAAUUACACACGCCUAGGACUUGGGAGCAUUGUGUUACGUAAACAUUGUGUUUAACUUUGUUUUCUUACUAUGAAAGAGUGUUUAUAACAAAGUAGAUCCACGAUAGUAACUCAAAGUGAGAUCAAACUAGGCAUAUCCGUAUCAAGAAUACCUCAUUUGGAAAUUACAAACAAGUGGACAGAUCUUAUUUCAAAAUAUAGCUUGGAGAGUGGUAUUGUGUGAAGAUUGAUUCCCAGGUCUUGAAACGAAUAAGGUUUUUCAAAGAAUCAUCAUGUUGCCAAAAGAUGGUAGCACUAAAAAGAUAGUAAGUAAGCUGUCGGCUCAUAUUCCUGCCUUCACAGACAUAUUCGAUGAAGAAACAUUCUACAUAUUCUUCAUCUGUCUGACAGUAUGCACAGUAACACUAGCAAUAUAUUGUUCAAGACGGCUGACCAUAAAGGAUGCAGGACAUGUGGAUUAGAAAUGACCUGCAACUGUGAAUUAUAUAGUGGUCAGAAGUUCCUUGAUGGUUCAGACACUUCACAUCACCAGACAUUAUAGACCAACAUGAUGAAUUUUCACAGAGUAAUGAGAAAGACAUGCGAACUAUAUGGUGAAUCUCGCUAACUUGGGUAACUUGUUAUGUUACCAUAAACUUUUCAGUUUGGCUGUAUAGUUAUAUUAGAAAAUAUUGAUUGUGUUAUUUUCCCUUGUCUUAUUCUUGCAUGUUUUUUUUUACCCAAUAUAUGUGUACAUGUGAUCUUAGAGAAAAGUGUGUAUGGUAUGGUUAAGUUAAUAAAUUAAAUGUUUAAAUAAAUCUUUUGUACUUUUUAA